UGGGAAUUCGCCAAGCGGUAAGGCAGAGGACUCUGAAUCCUUAAUCACUGGUUCGAUCCCAGUAUUCCCAA
rnacentral:tRNA from 1 species